rnacentral:tRNA from 1 species
GGGGAGGUAGCUCAGUGGUAGAGCACUUGCCUAGAAUGCAUGAGGCCCUGGGUUCUUCCCCA